AUCGUCUUUGGGACCACAUAUACUAAGAUUAGAAUCAUACGGAGAAGAUUAGUAUAGCCACUGAACAAAAACGAAAAGAAAAAUAGUGGGGCAGAGAAAAGCUCU
ensembl:snRNA U6 U6 spliceosomal RNA